rnacentral:tRNA from 1 species
AUGCCUUGUAGUAUACUACCCUAAUACAAUAAACUGCAACUUUAUCAAAACUAAUAGUCAAGGCAUA